UACGAACUGUGCGAACGUUAUUCAGAAUCACUGGGCUUACAGGGUGCGUAGGCGGCUCAACAAGUCAGGUGUGAAAGCCCCCGGCUCAACCGGGGAACUGCGCUUGAAACUGUUAGGCUCGAGUCAGCUAGAGGUACACGGAACUUCCAGUGGAGCGGUGAAAUGUGUUGAUAUUGGAAGGAACACCGGAGGCGAAAGCGGUGUACUGGGGCUGGUCUGACGCUGAGGCACGAAAGCCAGGGGAGCGAACGGG
rnacentral:rRNA from 1 species